AGGGGAAAUGGAAAGAUGGGGAACAGAGAGAGGGAGAGGGGGAAAGCAGAGAGUGUGGAGAGGAGAAAUGGACAGACAGGAGUGGGAAAGGGAUGGGGCAAGGUAGAGUGAUUGAGAGAGAAAAAGCAGAGAUGGAGAGAGGGAAAUAUAGAAGUCAGAGAGAGACAGGAAGAGAAGAAAAAGAGAAAGAGGGAGUGAUGCACCUUCAAAAGCUCUCGGAGACGGGAGGCGAACGAUAGGCUUUUAUUAGCAGCAAAAUGGAGCACAGCAUCUCGGAGACUGAGGGGGGAGCAGUGCCCCCAAUCGCCUUUAUCCAGGGGUCUUUGGGAGGAGCCACAGGAGCAGUCAGCAGAGGGGCGAGUCCAAGCAGAUAUACAUAGUUUACCACAGGGAGAAAAGGCAGAGAGAGAGAAGAGAUAGAGAGAAAGUGGGAGAUGGAAAAGAGAGAGAAAGAGAGGGAGACAAGGGGAAGAAGAGAGAGGGAAAGGGAGAAAGAGGGAGCAGAGACAGAGAGAGAGAAGUAGAGAGUGAGAGGGAGAGGGAGGGAGGGAGAUGGAGAGACACUGUACACAGUCUGACAGAUUGGGACUGGGAAGGGGGUUGUGAUAACCCCCAGUGGGUGUACAAUACUUGCUCCACUAACACACCCCACCCACCCCCAGCUGGGGAUUCGGUUAGGUCUGAUGGACGUUCCUGUCUACACUGCACUUUAGGAGCCGCCUCCUGAAGGCACCAUCCCCCAUGGCAGCUCAGCGCUUUGUGUGAUGCUAUUACAGCUCAGACUUCAGAGUUCAGUUCCGGCGUCCGCUGUCAGAAAGGUUCUUCCUGUGACCACAUGGGUUUCCUCUGGGUUCUCCCAUUGCCUCCCACAGCCUAAAGAUGUCCCGGUUGGCGAUUGUGAAUUGUCCUGUGAUUAGGCUGGGUGGUGCGGCUCGUUGGACCAGAAGGACCUGUUCUGCGCUGAAUAAGCAUUGAAUUAAUAAAAUAAAGACACCCAUACAAUCUCUGGGGAUGUUUGUUGAUUGGUAUUGUCUGCAUGAGGCCAUAUCAUUGGACAGAAGCGUGAAUUUGCACACCACCCUGUUCAGGAGCGGCUACUUCCCUUCGACCGUCAGUGGCAACGCACACGGAAUGCUGGGACAGGCACCGUUCAUGGAGGGGAACAAACAGUCGAUGGCUCGGGCUGAGUCCCUUCUUCAGGUCUAGACAGGAAGGGGAAGAAGCCAGAAGCCCUGCUCACUAUCGCGGUAUCUUCGUGCAAGUGCGGUCAAUUUUGACAUUUAAGAGAAAUUAGGUUAGGUUCAUGGAUGGGAGGGGUACGGUGUGGAUGCAGGUCGGUGAGACUACGUAGAAUGACACACACAAAACGCUGGAGGAAACCAGCAGGCCAGGCAGCUUCUAUGGAAGGAAGUACAGUUGACGUUUCGGGCUGAGACCCUUCGGCAGGACUGUGCAGGCCUGAAAACGUCGACUGUGCUCUUUUCCUAGAUGCUGCCUGGCCUGCUGAGUUCCUCCAGCUUUUUGUGGAGCAAAUUUUCCAGCAUUUGCAGAUAUUCUCUUGUUUGUGAUUGGACUAUGUAGAUUAAUGGUUUGGCACGGACUAGAUAGGCAGAAGGGCCUGUGUCAGUGCUGUAGUGUUCUAUUACUCUGUGACACUUACUAUUGGUCAGUUACUUCACUAAUUCUGAGAUAUGACAGGCUUUUAAUGUGGAGAUUCUAUUGGCUAUUAAUACCUGUAUGACCGUAGUGUGAUUGAUUAUGCAAAUAAGGAAUUUGAACGCACAAAAUGUUAGCAAUUGGCCAAUAUCUGUAACCAACUAUUCUGUAUAAAAAUGGCAUUUCUCUGUUCAGAGUCCAGAACAGUGUGGUUCUCCUUGUGCACAAGUAAAACAGAGUGUGGUUGAAGAACGAGUGUGAGUUGUCAGAGGCAAGUUAAUCGGUGAUGACAAUCCCACUGACCAGUCCAAUCAGAGAAGACCGCAGUAUUAAUAACUUACUGAAUACUGAAAGCCUCGAAAGAGUGGACGUGUACAGGACGAUUUCCAUUGUGUAAGACCGAAGGACACUGCCUCACUAGAGGAACAGAGAUGAGGGAUUUCUUCAGCCAGGGAGUGGUGAAUCUGUGGAAUUCAUUGCCACAGAUGGCUGUGGAGGCCAAGUCAUUGAGUAUAUUUAAAGCAGAGGUUGAUAGAUUCUUGAUUAGUCAGGGCAACAAAGGUUACAGGGAGAAGGCAGAUGGAUAGGGUUGAGAGGGAUAAUAUGUCAGCCAUGAUUGAAUAGCAGAGCAGACUUGAUGGGCCGAAUGGACUAAUUCUGUUCCUACAGAAUGACUUCUUAUUAUCUAAUAUUAAUUCCACUAAGCUGUGUCCAUGAACACCUUUGCUCAACAGGGAGCCUGGCUGCGGCCACUUGCUGCUCGGUUGAAGUUAAGUUAGUUAAUGAGUUACUCAGUUUGGUUGCACUAGUAAAGCACCUAGUUAAACAUUACAUCAGAUCAGAGCCCACAGCUCAAUCCAGCCAUUCCACCAACCGCAGAGUUUAAGAAUUAUUGAUUGAGAUGACCUAGUCCAUCAGUCAUCCCUCUCUCUCCAACCCACCAUCUCUUCCUCUCUCCCUCUCUUCUUCUCUGUCCCUACCUCCCUCUCCCAUUCCCUCUCUCCUUCUCUCCAUUCCACUCUGUCCUUCCUUGCUUCCACCUCUCGCCCCUCUCCCUCCAUCGCACCUUCCCUUCCUCCAUAGACUCCCUCCAUCUCCCUCUUCACUCCAUUACCCCUGUGUUUAUGUAAGAAUCCCUUCAAUGUCCCUAACAUAUCUAUCUCUACCACCACUUCUGGCAGCACAUUCCAACACCCACAACUCUGUGUGUAGAAAGUCUCCCCCCAUAUGUUCCUCCAAUCACAUUAAAAUGCUGUCCUGUACACUGCCCGACAGACAGAGAUGGAGGCCAUUCACUGCUGCCCUAAUGUCAGCCGUCAACAGGCAGGGAGUUUAAUUUCAAUGUGAUUGGCCUUGCCCCACUUGCAGACAGGUACAUCCUGAAAGCUGCUGCUUUAAGAUCAGAUCAGAUCAGAUUCAGAAUGUACCUCAAAACUCUUCCUGACACCGUAUUCCAUCUCCCAUUUCUUUGCCCAUUCUCCUGAUCUGUAGCCUAUGCCCUCAAAACUACCUGCCCGUCAUAUCAUCUGCAAACUUUGCAACAAAGCCAUCAUUUCCAUCAUCCAAAUCAUUGACAUAUAACGUAAAAAGAAUCGGUCCCAGCACAGACCCCUGUGGAACACCACUAGUCACCGGCAACCAGCCAGAAAAGGCCCCCUUUAUUCCCACUCUUUGCCUCCUGCCAAUUAGCCACUGUUUUGACCAUGCUGGAACCUUCCCUGUAAUACCAAGGGCUCGUAGCUCUGUUUAGCAGCCUCGUGUAUUUCACCUUGUCAAAGGCCUUCUGAAAAUCCAAGUGCAUAACAUCAACCGAUUCUCUUUUGCCUAUCCUACUUGUUACUUCCACAAAGAAUUCCAACAGAUUUGUCAGGCAAGAUUUUCCCUUGAGGAAACCAUGCUGGCUACGGCCUAUUUUAUGAUGUGUCUCCAAGUACCCUGAGACCUCAUCCUUAAUAAUCGACUCCACACCUUCCCAACCACUGAGGUCAGACUAACUGGUCUACAGUUUCCUCUCUUCUGCCUCUCUCCCUUCUGGAAGAGGGGAGUGACAUUUGCAGUUUUCCAGUCUUCCGGAACCAUUCCAGUAUCUAGUGGUUCUUGGAAGAUCAUUACUAAUGCCCCAUGGUCUCUUCAGACAGCUUAUUCAGAACCCUGGGCGGGACACCAUCUGGUCCAGCUGACUUAUCUACCUUCCCUUACAGUUCCCCAAGAACCUUCUCUAGUUAUAGCAACUUCACACACACUUCCUGCCCCUGUGAUGAAAUGGUGGAACAGACUUGAUGGACUGAAUGGCCUAAAUCUGCCCCUAUAUCUUAUGGUCUGAUGAUACAUGUGGCAAUAAACUCUGAAUCUGGAUCCGAACUCCCUCAGCAUUAUAACCGUAUUUAUUGAUUUAUUUAGAGUUACAGUCUAACAGACCCUUCCAGCCCAACCAGCUGCACCUACUAAACCCCAGUCUAAUCACAAGGCAACUUACAAUCACCAAUUAACCAACUAACCAGUAGGUCUUUGGAACGUGAGAGGGACCUGGUACACCCAGAGGAAACCCACACAGAACGGGGAGACACAUACAGACUUACAGACAGUGCCAGAACUCAACUCCGACGUCCCGAGCUGUUACGGUGUCACGCUACCACGGUCUCCUAUGAUUUAUUUUACAUCUCUGUGCUACCGGCCCACACAUCUGUUCCACUACCUCCUGUCAACUGUGAGAACCUCUGUAGAACAUGCCUGUCUCAGAGGGUGCUGAACAUCUGGAGUUGUCUGCCAGAUUACUAUGGAGAGAUAGUGAAAUACUUGGAAGAUUUGAGAGUUGACGGAACUGGCAUAGAAGAGGCCAGCGUUGAUCAUCAAUGAUCGCAUUCCAUGAUGGGACAGACGGCAGGCCGAGUGGCAUCCUGUACCUGUCUUCUUGCCUCCUCCCUGCGUUAGAAGGGCGAUAUGCAAAACCAGCUGAUUACUAGUGUGGCAGGUCACCAAUUUAUGGUCCAAUAUCGUCCUCUGCUGGCGUUGGCAGCUACUGCAGCUGUUAAAGGCUCUGCCUUUUUAAUGAGGGAAUUAGCGGAUCGAGCGGUGUCCAAGGGAGGAAACGAUGGCUCCCGGCGCAGGUUUUCAACCUGAAACAUCAGCAUCCUCAGCCCCCUAACCUACUUUCUGUACACUGAUGCCAGUUUCUGCUCUAACUCUGCAAACUUGCAGAUAUCACCGUCGUGGGUCAAAUCUCAAGAACAAUGAACAAUACAGGGAGGAGAAAGAGAGUUCAGUGACAUGGUUUCAUGACAACAGCCAAUGUCAGCAAAUGAGUUGGUCAUUGACUUCAGGAAGGGGGCUGGUGCACAUGUUCUUGUCUACAUCAAUGGUGUUGGGGUUGAGAGCUUCAAGUUCGUAGGAGUGUCCAUCAUCGACAUCCUGCCCUGGUCCAACCAUGUUGAUGUCACAUCCAAGAAAGCCUCUACUUCCUCGGGAAGCUAAAAAAAAACAUUGGCAAGUGCCUGGUGACCAUCACUGAUAUUUCUGGACGCACCUCAGAAACCUUUCUGUCUGGAUCCAUCACAGCCCGGGAUGGCAGCGACCGCAGAGAGCUGCGGGCACAGAAACCAGCCUCUGCACUACGAACCCUUGUUCAUUUUAGUAAGGCACUUUAUCCCGCACUCCGUUAUUGAUUUUUUUUUUGUAUUACCUCGGCGCACUGAUGUGAUGACCUGAUCUGUAUGCAAAACAAAGUUUUCCACUGUCCCUUGGUACACACACCACCAGGCUCCAGGCAGCUUUACCCCGCUGUAAUAAGCCUUCUGAACAGACCUCUUGUGUACUAAAGGUAGGCUCCUGGCAAGCUACUGAGUUAUGAUCUUACAGCUUACUGCUUGCCUGCAAUCCACUUUCUCUGUAACUGUUACACUUUAUUCUGCUUUCUGUUAUUGUUUCACCUGGUUCGACCUCACCGCACCGUGUAAUGACCUGAUCUGUACGAACGGUGUGCAAGACAAGCUUCUCUCUGUAUCUCGGUACAUGUGACAAUAAUAAACCGAUUCCAAUUCCAAACCUGCCGAUGUGUAAAGUGUGGAGGGCAGGAUACAGGGUUACUGGCAGGAGUAUCGGCAGGGUGGAGGAACAAAGGGUUUUCGGGGUCCAAGCUGCUGCGCGAGUUGAUAGGGUGAUUAAGAAGGUGUUGGCCUUCGUAAUUCAGGGACUGAGUUCAAGGGAAAUGAGGUGAUGUUGCAACUCUAUAAAACCUGGUUAGACCACACUUGGUGUAUUGUGUUCAGUUCGAGUCACCUCAUUAUAGAAAGGAUGUGAAAACUUUUGAAGGGGCGCAGAGGAGAUUUACCAGGAUUAGAGAGCAUGGUGCGACCGCAGUUCUGCGCUGUGGACGUUUCAGUGCAAGAAACAUCAUAAGGAAGGUGGAUGAUAAUGCUGAAGACGAGUAGCUGAUUCACAGAGGCAAUGUGUAGUUAGGAGAGACUAUUGACAGGGAAGAACUGUAGUAAGCAGAGUGAGUUGCAAUGUAAAAGGCAGACAAAAUCGAAAAGGGUGUAAGGUUGACGGGACGGCGGCGGAGUAGGAUUGUAGGUGUUAUAUUUGAAUGCGCGCAGUAUACAGAAUAAGGUCGAUGAACUGGCAGCACAGUUGCAGACUGGCAUGUAUGAUGUUGGAGGCAUCACUGAAACAUGGCUGAAAGAUUACAGCUGGGUGCUUAAUGUCAAAGACUACACAUCCUAUUGAAAGGACUGGCGGAAAGGCAGAUUGAGUGGCGUUGCUCUGUUUGCAAAAAAAUGAAGUCAAAUCAUGAGAAAGAGGUGACAUAAGGUCAGAAAGUGUUGAAUCAUUGUGGAUGGAGCUAAGGAACUGCAAGGGUAAAAAGACCCUGGUGGGAAUUCUAUACAGACCCCCAAACAGGGGUGAGGAUGUGGUCUACAAAUUAAAACGGGAGAUAGAAACUGCAUGCCAAAAGGGCAAUGUUACAAUAGUCACAGGGGACUUCAAUAUACAGGUAUAUGCAGGUAGAUUGGGAAAAUCAGGUUGGUGCUGGAUUCCAAGAGAGGGAAUUUCCAGAGUCCCUACGAGAUGGGUAUUUAGAGCAGUUCAUGGAUGAGCCCACUAGGGGAUCAGCUGUUCUGGAUUGGGUGCUGUGCAAUGAACCGGAAUUGAUUAGUGAGCUUAAAACAAAAGAACCCUUAGGGAUCAUCAUUUGAGGAGAAGCUAAAGUCGGAUAUAUCAGUAUUACAGUGGAGUGUAGGGAAUUACAGAGGCAUAAGAGAGGAGUUGGCUAGAAUUGAUUGGAAAUGAACACCGGCAGGGAUGAUGGCAGAGCAGCAAUGGCUGAAAUUUCUGGAAACAAUUCAGAAGACACAGGAUAUAGAUAAUCCCAAAGAGGAAGUAUUCUAAAGGAAAGAUGACGCAAACAUGGCUAACAAGAGACGUCAAAGCCAACAUAAAAGCCAAAGAGAGGGCAUAUAAGUGAGCAAAAAUUAGCGGGAAGUUAGAGGAUUGGGAAGCUUUCAAAUACCAACAGUAGGCAAUUAAAGAAGUCAUUACGAAGGUAAAGAUAGAAUAUGAAAGUAAACUAAAGAGGAUACCAAAAGCUUCUUCAGAUGCAUAAACUGUAAAAGAAAGGCAAGAGUGGAUAUCAGCCCACUAAGAAAUGAUGCUGGAGAAGUCGUAGUGGGGGGACAACAAACUGAAGAAGUAUUUUGCAUCAGUCUUCACUGUGGAAGACACUAGCAGUAUGGUGGAAGUUCCAGGUGUCGGGGGGAUGAAGUGUGUGAAGUUGCCGUAACUAGAGAGAAGGUUCUUGGGAAACUGAAAGGUCUGAAGGUGGAUAAGUCACCUGGACCAGAUGGUGUACACCCCAGGGUUGUGAAUGAUGUGGCUGAAGAGAUUAAGGAGGCAUUAGUAAUGAUCUUUCAAGAAUCACUAGAUUCUGGAAUGGUUCCAGAAGACUGGAAAAUUGCAAAUGUCACUCCAUCCUUAAAGAUGGGAGAGAGGCAGAAGAAAGGAAACCAGUCAUAUAACCAUAUAUAACAAUCACAGCACGGAAACAGGCCAUCUCGGCCCUCCUAGUCCGUGCCGAACCCUUAAUCUCACCUAGUCCCACCUACCCGCACUCAGCCCAUAACCCUCCACUCCUUUCCUGUCCAUAUACCUAUCCAAUUUCACCUUAAAUGACACAACUGAACUGGCCUCUACUACUUCUACAGGAAGCUCAUUCCACACAGCUAUCACUCUCUGAGUAAAGAAAUACCCCCUCGUGUUUCCCUUAAACUUCUGCCCCCUAACUCUCAAAUCAUGUCCUCUAGUUUGAAUCUCCCCUACUCUCAAUGGAAACAGCCUGUUCAUGUCAACUCUAUCUAUCCCUCUCAAAAUUUUAAAUACCUCGAUCAAAUCCCCCCUCAACCUUCUACGCUCCAAUGAAUAGAGACCUAACUUGUUCAACCUUUCUCUGUAACUUAAUUGCUGAAACCCAGGUAACAUCCUAGUAAAUCGUCUCUGCACUCUCUCUAAUUUAUUGAUAUCUUUCCUAUAAUUCGGUGACCAGAACUGCACACAAUAUUCCAAAUUUGGCCUUACCAAUGCCUUGUACAACUUUAGCAUUACAUCCCAACUUCUGUACUCAAUGCUUUGAUUUAUAAAGGCCAAUGUUCCAAAAGCCCUCUUCACCACCCUAUCUACAUGAGACUCCACUUUCAGGGAACUAUGCACAGUUAUUCCUAGAUCUCUCUGUUCCUCUGCAUUCCUCAAUGCCCUACCAUUUACCAUGUAUGUUCUAUUUGGAUUAUUCCUGCCAAAAUGUAGAACCUCACACUUCUCACCAUUAAACUCCAUCUGUCAACGUUCAGCCCAUUCUUCUAACUGGCAUAAAUCUCCCUGCAAGCUUUGAAAAUCCACCUCAUUAUCCACAACACCUCCUACCUUAGUAUCAUCGGCAUACUUACUAAUCCAAUUUACCAACCCAUCAUCCAGUUAGUCUGACCUCAGUGGUUGGAAAGGUGUUGGAGUCCAUAAUUAAGGAUGAGGUCUCAGGGUACUUGGAGACACAAGAUAAAAUAGGCUGUAGUCGGCAUGGUUUCCUCAAGGGAAAUUUUUGCCUGACAAAUUCAUUGGAAUUCUUUGAAGAAAUAACAAGCAGGAGAGAUAAAGGAGAACUGUUUGAUUGUGUGUACUUGAAUUUUCAGAAGGCCUUUGACAAGGUGCCACACAUGAAGCUGCUGAACAAGCUACAGGACCGUGGUAUAACAGGAAAGAUUCUAGCAUGGACAAAGAAGUGGGUGAUUGGUAGAAGACAAAGAGUGGGAAUAAAGGGAGCCUUUCUGGCUGGCUGCCGGUGACUAGUGGUGUUCCACAGGGGUCUGUGUUAUAUGUCAAUGAUUUGGAUGCUGGAAUUGUUGGCUUUGUUGCAGAUGAUAUCAGGACAGGUGGAGGGGUAGAUAGUUUUGAGGAAGUAGAGAGGCUACAGAAGGAUUUAGACAGAUUAAGAGAAUAGGCAAAGAAACAGUGCCGGGAAGUGUAUGGUCAUACACUUUGGUAGAAGAAAUGAAAGGGUUGACCAUUUCCUAAAUGGAGAGAAAAUACAAAAAAACUGAGUUGCAAAGGGAUUUGAGAGUCCUUUUGCAGGAUUCCCUAAAGGUUAAUUUGCAAAUUGAGUCUGUGGUGAGGAAGGCAAAUGCAUUCAUUUCAAGAGGACUAGAAUGUUGAGACUUUAUAAAGCACUGGUGACGCCUCACUUGGAGGAUUGUGAGCAGUUUUGGCUACUUUACCUUGGAAAGGAUGUUCUGAAACUGGAGAGGGUUCAAAGGAGGUUCGCAGAAAUGAUUCCAGGAUUGACCGGCUUGAUGUCUCUGGGCCUGUAUUCACUGGAAUUCAGAAGAAUGAGGGGUGACCUCAUUGAAACCUCUCAAAUGGUGAAAAACCUUGAUAGAGAGGACGUGGAGAGGAUGUUUCCUGUGGCGGGAGAGUCUCAGAGGGCACAGCCUCAGAAAAGAGGGAUGUCCUUUUAGAAUGGAGAUGAGGGGGAAUUUCUUUAGCUAGAGAGUGGUGAAUCUGUGGAAUUCAUUGCCACAGGCAGCUGUGGAGGCCAAGUUUUUAUGUAUAUUUAAGGCAAAGAUUGAUAGAUUCUUGAUUGGUCAGGGCUUGAAGAGAUGCGGGGAGAAGGCAUGAGACUGGGGCUGAGAGGAAAUAUGGAUCAGGCAUGAUGAAAUGGUGGAGAAGACUUGAUGGGCCAAAUGCGUUCUGUUCAGUGUUUUCUGUUCUGUGUUCUAUGUUCUGUGUUUUCUGUUCUGUGUUCUAUGAUCUGUGUUCCACGUUCCGUGUUUUAUGUUUCGUGCUCCAUGUUCCCUGUUCCAUGUUCCCUGUUCCACGUUCCGUGUUUUAUGUUCAAUGCUGCAGGGACACUACUUGGGUAUCUCUCCUACAUGCACUGGUUCGAGUGGACUGCCGUCUCUCUGUCAACGAUCUGCUCCCCAGGGUCCCCCGGAGGAGGAAGACCCAACCCACCCCUGUGCCCAGCCCGCCAGCAACGCCCAUCCCCCUUCCACUCUCUGGGACAUCCCAUCCUCUGCUUGUUACGGGCGCACAGGGCCCCUGGAGGCCCGAAUGGUCAGGAGCCACAGUUGGGUGCAGGAAAGAGCAGGCCGAUUGUUCCCUGGGGAAAUGGGAAAAUGAACCGGCACAAAGGGGUGACCUCCAUGGCUUCAGCUGCAGCAGGAAAAUACUCACUGCGGGAGCUGUGGGAGAACUAGGGGAGACUUGAGAGAGGUAUAUAACACUAUGAGGGUAAAUCAGAGUUUUUCCACUGAGAGUAAAACAAGAGGUCAUGGGUCAAGGGUGAAAGUGAAACGUUUAAGGGCAGCCUGAGGGGGAACUUCUUCACUCAGAGGGCGGUGAGAGUGUGGAACGAGCUGCCAGCAGAAGUGGAAGAUACAGGUUUGAUUUCACCAUUUAAGAGAAGUUUGGAUGGGUACACGGGUGGGAGGGGUGCAGACCGAUGAGAAUGGGCAGAAUGGCCUGUUUCUGUGCUCUGGUCCUCUGCGACUCUGUGGAACAGAACAGUACAGCACAGUUCAGGCCCUUCAGCUCUCAAAGUUGUGCCAACACUUUGACCUACUCGAAGAUGAAUCUAACCCUUCCCUCCCACAUACCCUCCGCUUUUAUAUCAUCCCUGUGUCUAUCGAACAAUCACUGAAAAGCCCCUAACGUAUCUGCUUCUAACACCACCCCCGCCGGACUGUUCCAUACGCCCACCACUCUCUGUAAAAACCCUACUUCAGACAUGUCCCCAAGAUUUUCCUCCAAUCACAUUCAAAUGAUGCCCCCCUCCGAUUAGCCAUCGACGCCCUGGGAAAUAUCUCUGGCUGUCCACUCGAUCUGCGCAUCUUACCCUCUCUGUCGGGUCAGAAAGUGCCUGAAUGUGGCAGCGGUCAAUCACAAAGAGCCGGUUUACGACAGUGUGGACCACACACCGCGUCUCCGCCUCUUCCUCACCAGCUCCACCACCAGAGAUCCACAUCUUCACUUCCUUUCUCCUGGCCCUUUAUUCCGUUUGUAUUCAUUUUGUCUUUAAAAUAACAUCAGGUACAAUCGUGUUGACACUGGUCUGUUGUCCUCACUGGCUUAUGAGGAAAGGUGGAGCGAAGUCGGGCUUUUCUCUUUGGAGUGACAGAGUAUGAGAGGAGAGUGAAGUCACAUCUGCAUGAAACACUGUAGCAGGAAAGCAGCAUCCAUCAUCAAGGACUCCCACCACCCAGGACAUGCACUCUUCUUGCUUUUCUGGUUGCCAUCAAAAAGAAGAUGCAGGAGCCUCAGGGCCCACACCACCAACAGUCACUACCCUUCAACCGUCAGGUUCCUGAACCAAGGACUCUGAUGGCAGAGGGGAAGAAGCUGCUCCUGAAUCGCUGAGUGUGUGCCUUCAGGCUUCUGUACCUCCUACCUAAUGGUACCAAUGAGAAAAGGGCACGCCCUGGGUGCUGGAGAUCCUUAAUAACGGACGCUGCCUUUCUGAGACACCGCUCCUUGAAGAUUGCCUGGGUACUUUGUAGGCUAGUGCCCAAGAUGGAGCUGACUAAAUUUAGAACCCUCUGCAGCUUCUUCUGGUCCUGUGCAGUAGCCCCUCUAUACCAGACAGUGAUGCAGCCUGUCAGAACGCUCUCCACGGUACAUAUAUAGAUGUUUAUGAAUUUUUUUGUUAACCUCUUCAAACUCCUAAUGAAGUAUAGUCGCUGUCUUGCCUUCUUUAUAGCUGCAUCAAUAUGCUGAGACCGGGUUAGGUUCUCAGAGAUCUUGACAGCCAGGAACUUGAAGCAGCUCACUCUCUCCACUUCUGAUCCCUCUGUGAGGAUUGGUGUGUGUUCCUUCAUCUUACCCUUCCAGAAGUCCACAAUCAGCUCUUUCAUCUUCCUGACGUUGAGUGCCAGGUUGUUGCUGCAGCACCAUCUGAGAUUCUACCAGCCAUGGUUGGAUGUAGCUUGUGUGGUUUGUGUGUGGUUUUCAUUGAUUCGAUUGUGUUUCUUUGGAUUUACUCUGAAUGCCUGCAAGAAAAUGAAUCUCAGGGUUGCAUAUUGUGAUAUUUAAGUGUUUUGGUAAUAAAUUUACUUUGAACUUUGAACUCAAUAUCAUUGUGUACAAGUGCAAUAUAAUGCCCCAAUUCCUGAACCCCUCCGACACUCCGGACGUGCCGAGCCCUAUCGACCUGUGACUGCAAGACCUCGGGAGAGACCGGAAGGUACUGAGAAGCCAGAUUUGGCUUUUGGGGUGUCCUGUAGAAUUCAUCGGACAUCUGGAUUGGGAACAUUCAUACUGCCGAUGAUUCGUAAAUGGGCAGAGAGCUCAGAGAUAACACCACUUGUAAACACAAAGCAGGGGAGUGAGAAAUCUCACACUCAGCAAGACAGCACAAUCUGAAGGACAGGAAGCUAGUGUUCACUGUGUGAGAGAGAGAGAGAGAGAGAGAGAGAGAGAGAGAGAGACAGAGACAGAGAGACAGACAGAGAGAGAGAGAGAGAGAAGAGAGAGAGAAGAGAGAGAGAGAGAGAGAGAGAGAGAGAGUAUGACAUUUGUUUCUGAGGUUCCUCCCAAUGCUCCUCUACCCCGACCCCCUUCACCUUAUCGUCCCGUUCCUCUUGUUCACCCCAUCUCUCAAAGUGUAACACUGCUCUCAGCCACACGUUCCUGGUCCGUGACCCCGGGGACAUUGCCUCUGUAUUUGAUAUUCUUUAUUGUAAUUUAUAGUAAUUUUUCGGGUACUGUACUGCAAAACAACAAAUUUCGUGAUAUACAUCGGUCAAUGCUAAUAUACCGCAUCAGGACUCUGGUUGGCUUUUAUUUGGAGAUACAGCACAGAACAGACCCUUCUGUCCAUCGAGCUGUACUGACCAGUAGCCCCUAAUUUAACCAUAUCCUAAUCACAGGAUAAUUUACAAUGACCGAUUCAAAUACUAACCGAUGUGUCUUGGGACUGUAGGAGGAAACACACACACAUUCCCCAGGGACUCCUUACAGAGGACAUUGGGGUUGUACUCUGAACUCUGACACUGACUGUAAUGUGUCACGCUAACCACUACGUUACUACAGCGCCCGCUAUAACUACUGAACCACUUCAUCAGGAGAAGGGCUUGAAUUCAUCACUAUUCCAUCAUCGGUUCAGUAAUGCAUAAACACUUGGGCUGUGAGGAGGGGUCACACCUAACUUCUGUGUCUGACCCACUAUGAGAGGAACUCUGAAUUGCCUUGCUCAGCCCAACUGCUAUUGGAAACGGCCGCUGAAUUCUCCCACUCCGGGGAAAUCCACCAUCUGUAUUUUCAAAGGAAAAGUUUGAGCAUCAUUGAAAAUCCUUCAAAAAGAUUCUUCUCUGUCCCUGCACCAUUACAACAUUAAGGGCAUGGUUGUUCUUUGAAGCAAGAUUCAUUGCAAUAAUGCCUGGCACAAGUUUACAAAAAUUGUAAAUAUACGCUGGUAGUUCGAAAUUCAAGAUCUGAGAUAGUUUAAUGUCAAUUCCAGACAAGUGUAGAAGGGAACGAAAUCAUUGUUACUCCAGAUCCGAUGCAGCACAAAACACACAAUAGUAAAAAUCCACAAUAAAAAUAAAUAUAUGAUCAUUUUAAGCUCUAUAAUCUCUAAUUU